rnacentral:rRNA from 1 species
AGUGAACGCUGGCGGUAGGCCUAACACAUGCAAGUCGAACGGCAGCACAGUAAGAGCUUGCUCUUACGGGUGGCGAGUGGCGGACGGGUGAGGAAUACAUCGGAAUCUACUUUUUCGUGGGGGAUAACGUAGGGAAACUUACGCUAAUACCGCAUACGACCUACGGGUGAAAGCAGGGGAUCUUCGGACCUUGCGCGAUUGAAUGAGCCGAUGUCGGAUUAGCUAGUUGGCGGGGUAAAGGCCCACCAAGGCGACGAUCCGUAGCUGGUCUGAGAGGAUGAUAAGCCACACUGGAACUGAGACACGGUCCAGACUCCUACGGGAGGCAGCAGUGGGGAAUAUUGGACAAUGGGCGCAAGCCUGAUCCAGCCAUACCGCGUGGGUGAAGAAGGCCUUCGGGUUGUAAAGCCCUUUUGUUGGGAAAGAAAAGCAGCAGGUUAAUACCACGCUGUUCUGACGGUACCCAAAGAAUAAGCACCGGCUAACUUCGUG